GUGCCAGCCGCCGCGGUAAUACCGGCAGCCCAAGUGAUGGCCACUCUUAUUGGGCCUAAAGCGUCCGUAGCCGGCCUCGCAAGUCCGUCGGGAAAUCCACCCGCCCAACGGGUGGGCGUCCGGUAGAAACUGGCCGGCUUGGAACCGGAAGGCUCAAAGAGUACGUCCGGGGUUGGAGUGAAAUCCCGUAAUCCCGGACGGACUACCGAUGGCGAAAGCACUCUGAGAAGACGGCUUCGACAGUGAGGGACGAAAGCUCGGGUCUCAAACCGGAUUAGAAACCCGGGUAGUCC
rnacentral:rRNA from 1 species